ACACUCCUGCGGGAGGCAGCAGUGGGGAAUAUUGGACAAUGGGCGCAAGCCUGAUCCAGCCAUGCCGCGUGAGUGAUGAAGGCCCUAGGGUUGUAAAGCUCUUUCACCGGUGAAGAUAAUGACGGUAACCGGAGAAGAAGCCCCGGCUAACUUCGUGCCAGCAGCCGCGGUAAUACGAAGGGGGCUAGCGUUGUUCGGAUUUACUGGGCGUAAAGCGCACGUAGGCGGACUAUUAAGUCAGGGGUGAAAUCCCGGGGCUCAACCCCGGAACUGCCUUUGAUACUGGUAGUCUUGAGUUCGAGAGAGGUGAAUGGAAUUCCGAGUGUAGAGGUGAAAUUCGUAGAUAUUCGGAGGAACACCAGUGGCGAAGGCGGCUCACUGGCUCGAUACUGACGCUGAGGUGCGAAAGCGUGGGGAGCAAACAGGAUUAGAAACCCGGGUAGUCCCA
rnacentral:rRNA from 1 species